UACGUAGGGUGCAAGCGUUAAUCGGAAUUACUGGGCGUAAAGCGUGCGCAGGCGGUUGUGCAAGACCGAUGUGAAAUCCCCGGGCUUAACCUGGGAAUGGCAUUGGUGACUGCACGGCUAGAGUGUGUCAGAGGGGGGUAGAAUUCCACGUGUAGCAGUGAAAUGCGUAGAAAUGUGGAGGAAUACCGAUGGCGAAGGCAGCCCCCUGGGAUAACACUGACGCUCAUGCACGAAAGCGUGGGGAGCAAACGAGG
rnacentral:rRNA from 1 species